GGCGCGGUAGCCAAGUGGUAAGGCCGAGGUCUGCAAAACCUCUAUGCGCCGGUUCAAUUCCGGCCCGCGCCUCCA
rnacentral:tRNA from 6 species